CUAGCUAAAAUCCUAGAUAUCAAUCGAUUAAUCGAAACUAAUUACAUAGACUGACCCACAAACAUAAGAAUCAUUCUUAAUUUAGAAAAUUAAGCAAUAUUCUAUAUCAGGUUAUUCUAAUAUUAACAACAUGUCCAACCCAUUAGUCAACGAGCCAUACUUGAUGAAUAGAUGGACAAUGACAAUAAAGAUAGGUGCUAUAUGUUGAAGUUCAUGUUAGAUGAAC
rnacentral:lncRNA from 1 species